UGGACGUCGAGCGGCGGACGGGUGAGUAAUGGCUGGGAACCUGCCCUGACGAGGGGGAUAACCGUUGGAAACGACGGCUAAUACCGCAUAAUGUCUACGGACCAAAGGUGGCCUCUACAUGUAAGCUAUCGCGUUGGGAUGGGCCCAGUUAGGAUUAGCUAGUUGGUAAGGUAAUGGCUUACCAAGGCGACGAUCCUUAGCUGGUUUGAGAGGAUGAUCAGCCACACUGGGACUGAGACACGGCCCAGACUCCUACGGGAGGCAGCAGUGGGGAAUAUUGCACAAUGGGGGAGACCCUGAUGCAGCCAUGCCGCGUGUGUGAAGAAGGCCUUCGGGUUGUAAAGCACUUUCAGCAGUGAGGAAGGUAGUGUACUUAAUACGUGCAUUGCUUGACGUUAGCUGCAGAAGAAGCACCGGCUAACUCCGUGCCAGCAGCCGCGGUAAUACGGAGGGUGCGAGCGUUAAUCGGAAUUACUGGGCGUAAAGCGCAUGCAGGCGGUUUGUUAAGUCAGAUGUGAAAGCCCGGGGCUCAACCUCGGAACCGCAUUUGAAACUGGCAGGCUAGAGUCUUG
rnacentral:rRNA from 1 species